GACCACGUGAAAACUUCGACUCAUCCGAAAUUUCGAGUCAACCGAGUUCGAGACAACGAGAGUUAACUGCCUCGAUAUCGGAUAUAUGAAUAGGAUAAUCCACGAGUAAAUAUGUAAAAAUCUGUUUCUCUAAUGAUUAAUAAAUACAUUUUUUUUUUGCUAAGAUAAAAUCCCCUACGAGUGCCUUCCACAUUCCUCAACGUUGUCAAUUUCAUUAACACCUGUUAGCAUAUUUUGAUUUAUCCAGUAAGCUGAUAAAGGUUAUGACCCUUUCUUACAUUCAAUCAUUUAUGGGAUCACCGGCAACCCCACGUUGAUUUUUAUACAAAUGGGUUUCGAAAGGGAUUAAGUUCCAUAGAAUUAGAGAAACACGUGUAUCGUUCAUGAUUCAAUCGUUUAUCUUACAUGUUACAAGCGUUUAUUGUUAAAGCUAUAUUUGUGAAUCGUUCAUGCUACAUGCAUUUAUCGUUCAUUCAACAAACUGUUGUCAAUGUUGAUUAAUAAUGGCAUAUGUCUUAUCGUUAAAGUUAUAGGCGUUAACCAUUAUUGUUACAACCGUUUACCGUUAUUAUUAAAAGUGUUGAUUGAUAUUGUUACAAGUGUUGAUUGUUAAACUAAUAAGCGUGUAUGCGUUAACCGUUAAUGUUACAGUCGUUUAUCGUUAAUGUUACAACUGUUGAUUAUUUAUGAUAUAAGCGUUGAUUAUUCAUGUGGCAUGUAUUAAUUUUUUUCUGUGAAAUACAAAUAUUUAUUACGAUAGUUGUUAAACCUGGAUACAGUCAAGAAAGGAAAGUUAUAUAGUUGUUUUUAUGUUGUAUUAUCGUGUUUUAUGUAUAUUGUUAUUUUGUUAAAAAUAAUUAAUGUUACGAACGUUGAGUUUUCUAUUAUAUAAUGUUUAAUCAUAAUUAAAAGUUGAUGAAAUAUAUGAUAAGGUUAGUUUGUACGUAUUUAUUCGUAGAAGUCUGGCUGGUGAGGUCUUUUAUACUGUCUAAUAAACAGUUUUGGUGACAUAUGAUUUAAAUUAAGUCGAUACCUUGUGUGCAUAUAUAUUUUUACAUGAUAAAAUUAGUUAAAAUGAAAUAAAUGUGGCAACA
rnacentral:lncRNA from 1 species